GAUCGCAACUCUGCCACAAGACCAGCUCAAGAAAGCGCGACCCGGCGGGGGCAUGCACCUGUCCUUGGCGCGGGCGGCCGUGGCCAUCCGGCCACUCUCUUUUCCUCCUUCUUCAGCUAAGAGGUCCAGCAGUCUUCAUUUGUUACGAGGAGCUUCUUUCCGGGACUUGGAGAGACAAGAGACACCCGCCGAGCGGUGACAAGGGGACCCCGGGGAUCCUGCCCGCAUUCCCCUCGCCAAGCCCGGGCGCCCAGGGCUGCAGUUACCUUAUUCCGCGGCCGUCCCGGAGUUGAGCGCGUCUCUGGGGCUCCCGCUGCGAGGGGACCCGGUUAGCCAGAGGCGCUGGAUUUCCACAGGCACCCGCGGAGCUCAAGAGUCCCGGCCCCUCUCCGGCGGCCGCGGGGACUCCGAGCGCCCGACACGCGGGAGCGCUCAGCGGCCCUGGAGUCCUGUCCGCCCAGGGGGUGGUGAACUUCUCUCGCGGUUCCUUGGUUGGUUCUGAACCCGGAGCGGCUGAGAAAGCGCUGGGGAGAGACCGAGCUCCGACUCACUUACCCCUUAGCACCGAGCCGCCUACUUAUUUUAAUCCACCACCCUCCCUCCUUCCCCCCUCCCCCCUCCCCUAGCCUCAGGAUUCCUCCCCUCCCUCCCCUGCCCCCUCCCCGCAACCAUCCUGCCCUGCGCCUGCGCACUGAGACACAAAGUUUUGCUGACCCGGGCAGCCGACUGGGACUGCGGCGCUCGCCUGGCCCCGACCUCCCGGGACCUGCGUCCCCAGUUCUUCAGACCUGUGCGACCCUUUCUGCGUGUUGGGCCCACGAGGUUGGCAGGCGAGCUCGAAUAAAACAGCCUCUUCCAUA